rnacentral:rRNA from 1 species
GAUGAACGCUGGCGGCGUGCCUAAUACAUGCAAGUAGAACGCUGAAGGAGGAGCUUGCUCUUCUGGAUGAGUUGCGAACGGGUGAGUAACGCGUAGGUAACCUGCCUGGUAGCGGGGGAUAACUAUUGGAAACGAUAGCUAAUACCGCAUGACAACAGUUAUUGCAUGAUAACUGUUUAAAAGGGGCAACUGCUCCACUACCAGAUGGACCUGCGUUGUAUUAGCUAGUUGGUGAGGUAACGGCUCACCAAGGCGACGAUACAUAGCCGACCUGAGAGGGUGAUCGGCCACACUGGGACUGAGACACGGCCCAGACUCCUACGGGAGGCAGCAGUAGGGAAUCUUCGGCAAUGGACGGAAGUCUGACCGAGCAACGCCGCGUGAGUGAAGAAGGUUGUCGGAUCGUAAAGCUCUGUUGUAAGAGAAGAACGAGUGUGAGAGUGGAAAGUUCACACUGUGACGGUAUCUUACCAGAAAGGGACGGCUAACUACGUG